rnacentral:rRNA from 1 species
GGCUUAGAGUUUGAUCAUGGCUCAGGAUGAACGCUGGCGGCGUGCCUAAUACAUGCAAGUCGAGCGAAGCGCUUGCCUUUGAUCCUUCGGGUGAAGAGGCUUGUGACUGAGCGGCGGACGGGUGAGUAACACGUAGGGAACCUGCCUCACACAGGGGGAUAACAGUUAGAAAUGACUGCUAAUACCGCAUAAGCGCACAGGACCGCAUGGUCUGGUGUGAAAAGCUCCGGCGGUGUGAGAUGGACCUGCGUCUGAUUAGCCAGUUGGCGGGGUAACGGCCCACCAAAGCGACGAUCAGUAGCCGGCCUGAGAGGGUGGACGGCCACAUUGGAACUGAGACACGGCCCAGACUCCUACGGGAGGCAGCAGUAGGGAAUAUUGCACAAUGGGGGAAACCCUGAUGCAGCGACGCCGCGUGAGCGAAGAAGUAUCUCGGUAUGUAAAGCUCUAUCAGCAGGGAAGAAGAUGACGGUACCUGACUAAGAAGCACCGGCUAAAUACGUGCCAGCAGCCGCGGUAAUACGUAUGGUGCAAGCGUUAUCCGGAUUUACUGGGUGUAAAGGGAGCGUAGACGGAAGAGCAAGUCUGGAGUGAAAGCCCGGGGCUCAACCCCGGGACUGCUUUGGAAACUGUUUAUCUAGAGUGCCGGAGAGGCAAGCG